rnacentral:rRNA from 1 species
UACCAGCACCCCGAGUGGUCGGGACGAUUAUUGGGCCUAAAGCAUCCGUAGCCGGUUUUACAAGUCCUCCGUUAAAUCCAGCUGCUUAACAGAUGGGCUGCGGAGGAUACUAUAAGACUAGGAGGCAGGAGAGGCAAGCGGUACUCAGUGGGUAGGGGUAAAAUCCGUUGAUCCGUUGAAGACCACCAGUGGCGAAGGCGGCUUGCCAGAACGCACUCGACGGUGAGGGAUGAAAGCUGGGGGAGCAAACCGG